AAUCAAGGACCAGUUUUUAUUAAAAGAGCCUUACUCAAAGUUUCCUAAAUAUGCAUUAAAAAAAAAAAACAUAACCAUAGCAAGCAGAGCUGUAUUUCCAAACAUCUUUUUGGUCUUUAUCUGCUCCCCUCUGAGAAAAUAACACCAUCCUAGCUUGGAAUUCUCUCUCAUUCUUCCUCAGGUUCUGUUCCAAAGGGUGGAGCCCCUCAUUUUUGCCGGUGGAAAGUUGCUGCUUCUUGCAGUGGAGCACUGGAGCUCAUCAAUAAAUUAGGCUCCAGAAACAGCCCAAGGAAAUCCUAUAGUUACCAAAGAGCCAGAAUAGGACAGACUCAUAUACCAUUCUGAUCUGGGUGCAUUUCUUCAGAAGGUACGCUGUGCUCAUGGGGAACUGCGGCUGCCCGGGCAUGGGGCUGACAAGGCCGGGAGGAAAGUCUGUGUGUGCAUUUUAACAAGAAGGUUUCCC
rnacentral:lncRNA from 1 species